rnacentral:rRNA from 1 species
GACGAACGCUGGCGGCGUGCCUAAUACAUGCAAGUAGAACGCUGAAGGAGGAGCUUGCUCUUCUGGAUGAGUUGCGAACGGGUGAGUAACGCGUAGGUAACCUGCCUGGUAGCGGGGGAUAACUCUUGGAAACGAUAGCUAAUACCGCAUAAGAGUAGAUGUUGCAUGACAUUUACUUAAAAGGUGCAAUUGCAUCACUACCAGAUGGACCUUCGUUGUAUUAGCUAGUUGGUGGGGUAACGGCUUACCAAGGCGACGAUACAUAGCCGACCUGAGAGGGGGGACGGCCAAACUGGGACUGGGGCAAGGCCCAGACUCCUACGGGAGGGAGCAGGAGGGAAUCGUCGGCAAUGGGCGGAAGGCUGAACGGGCAACGCCGCGUGAGGGAAGAAGGGUUUCGGAUCGUAAAGAUCUGUUGUAAGAGAAGAAAGAGGGUGAGAGUGGAAAGUUCACACUGUGACGGUAUCUUACCAGAAAGGGACGGCUAACUACGUG